GUUUGAUCAUGGCUCAGAAUGAACGCNGGCGGCGUGCUUAACACNUGCAAGUCGAACGGUAACAGGACUAGCNUGCUAGUUGCUGACGAGUGGCGCACGGGUGAGUAAUAUAUAGUUAACGUGCCCCUAAGCCUGGGAUAGCCACUGGAAACGGUGAUUAAUACCGGAUAUNCCUUUCUACUUAUUAAGAGUAGUCGGGAAAGGUUUUUCGCUAAGGGAUCGGACUAUAUUGUAUCAGCUAGUUGGUGAGGUAAGAGCUCACCAAGGCAAUGACACAUAGCGGGNNGAGAGGAUGAUCCGCCACACUGGUACUGAGACACGGACCAGACCCCUACGGGAGGCAGCAGUGAGGAAUAUUGCACAAUGGAGGAAACUCUGAUGCAGCAACGCCGCGUGGAGGAUGACGCAUUUCGGUGUGUAAACUCCUUUUAUAAGAGAAGAAAAUGACGGUAUCUUAUGAAUAAGUCCCGGCUAACUCCGUGCUAGCAGCCGCGGUAAUACGGAGGGGACAAGCGUUAUUCGGAAUCACUGGGCGUAAAGGACGCGUAGGCGGGUUAUUAAGUCGGGUGUGAAAUCCAAUGGCUCAACCAUUGAACUGCAUUCGAAACUGAUAACCUAGAGUAUGGUAGAGGUAAGUGGAAUUCCUAGUGUAGCGGUGGAAUGCGUAGAUAUUAGGAGGAACACCAGUGGCGAAGGCGACUUACUGGGCCAUAACUGACGCUGAGGCGCGAAAGCGUGGGGAGCAAACAGGAUUAGAUACCCUGGUAGUCCACGCUGUAAACGAUGAAUACUAGGUGUAGGAGGUAUCGACCCCCCCUGUGCCGCAGCUAACGCAAUAAGUAUUCCGCCUGGGGAGUACGACCGCAAGGUUGAAACUCAAAUGAAUUGACGG
rnacentral:rRNA from 1 species